UACGUUCCCGGGCCUUGUACACACCGCCCGUCACACCACGAAAGUCGGCAAUACCCGAAGCCGGUGGCCUAACCCGUAAGGGAGGGAGCCGUCGAAGGUAGGGUUGAUGAUUGGGGUG
rnacentral:rRNA from 1 species